AAAAAUCUAAAAAUAGGAACCGGAAGUUAAAAAAAUAAAAAAAAUAAAAAUGAAUUUCAUUUACAUUUUUCGCCAUUUCAUACCGAUUUCGGCUUCUUAGAGAUCUGAUCUGAAAUGCUGAACUUUGACAUAGAUAUUUGAUGCUGUGUGGGUGCUACACAAAUUAUAAACCCUGUAGACUUGCACACAUAAACAGAAAAUGUUACCACAGAGACGCAGUCGUGGACAAGGAAUGGGGUUGAUGCUCCUGGCAUUGCAACUGCUCAGUGUUGGCUUCGACAAAAUCCCUCCAACUACUUUAUCUACAAUACUGGCCAAUGUUGCUAUAUAUCUCAAAUUGUUCAGAAUACCGUGGCUGCCAACAUCAUUGGGAGGAGUAUGUGUCAGCAUAGUGAAUGUAUGGUACCGUCAGGAGUGGAUGCGUGUUCUUUUAGCUGCCUUUUACCAUGCAGAUGACUGGCAUUUAUAUUAUAAUAUGGUUUCAUUUCUCUGGAAAGGACUGACACUUGAACGGAAGCUUGGAAGUGGAUAUUUUCUGUAUGUAAUACUUGUAUUUUCUAUACUAGUCAACGGCACUUUACUUGGGCUGAAUGUGCUACUAGAGUACCUCCUCCAAGACCCAAGUUACGCAGGCUCCUGUGCUGUUGGAUUUUCAGGAGUAGUGUUUGCGUUGAAGGUGUUGAGCACACAUUUUCUUCCCCCAGGCACACAGCUUAUCAUGGGAUUUAUUCCUGUACCAUCCAGGAUUGCAUGCUGGGUAGAAUUAGUCGUCAUUCAGCUGCUCGUCCCAAAUGCAUCUUUUACUGGUCAUUUGGCAGGAAUACUUGUUGGACUAGCAUUUGUUAAAGGCCCAUUGAGAGCAAUCAUGGAUUUCUUUGUACCUACAGGUAGAGGUCAUUUAUUCAGAUCUUAUACAUAUCAUACCGGGUCAACUGGUCACAGUGGCAACACAACUGGUCGUACAGGCAACACAUCUGGUCACCAUGGCAACACAAACAAUUACUACAGCAACACUACUGGUAAUUCAAACAACAGAAAUCAAAACCAUAGCAACCCAUACUCUGACUUAACAGGUGGAUUAAGUGAAGAGGCUCAGAUACAGGAGGCAAUAAGACGUAGUCAAGGUAACGAAGAUAGAGGCACUGACCAUAGUUACAAUGAGUCUGUGCGUCGCGAAAGGCAACAACAAACAAGUGAUGAUCAGUCUGGAUUAAGUGAUGAGGAACAAAUGGCUGAAGCAAUAAGACGAAGUAGAAAUGAAGUAUCAGCUGGUGCAGAUAACACAGGAGGUGUUCACCUCUACCCAACAUUGCCAUCUGAGAUUGUCCCUCCUCCACAGCCUUCUGGAAUUGCCCCUCCUCCCCCUGAGCCUUCUGCUCCAUCUAAAACUCCACCAGAAGUACGGAAACGAUUAAAUGCAGAGGAACUGAGGUCAAGACGUUUAAAACGAUUUGAACCAAGAUUUGCGGAAAAUCGUAAACACUAAUUCAAUGAUGUGUGGAAAAGCAGAGUGGCUAUAAUGUGCAAUGAUACCAAAACUUAAACCAAAUUUUAUCUCUCAUGAACUCAUUGUUCCUAUUGACCACGAGAUUUCAUGGAAUUCCUCUGUCAGUUACACUCCUCUCACUCCCCACCCCAUUGAUCCCAAAGUUUUUGAGAAAGUUUCUUUUUUGUGGGGACUAAGAGUGAUUAUUUAGUUCAUGGCAUUAUAGAACUGUAGAACUGCAUUACAUUACUCAUAUUUUCUGUUUAAAAUGGGAAGCAUUUUUAUGAGUUAAAAAAUGCGAAUGAAAUAGAUGCCAAUAUCCCCAGAAGGCAGAAAUACAUCCUUUGAAA
rnacentral:misc_RNA from 1 species